UGAAGAACAAUUAUUGAGGAACAUCUUCUCACUAAAGAAGGCACUUACUCUCACUCAAAAAGGUCAGAAUUUAGCUCAAAAAUGGCCCUAAGCGUGUAUUUAACGAAAUAGGGUCAGGUUGUAAGAACCCAAAAAUGAAGCCCCAGAACAGGAUAUGCGGUCGCAUAUGCGACCACAUAAUGGUUAUGCGGUCCGCAUAUCAGCCGCAUAAUAUGAGUGACAAAAACUGGAAGGGAACUGACCUGGUCUGCAGUCACUAUACGGCCCGCAGACCUGUUUUGCGAUCGCAUAGUGCACCGCAGAACUUCCCUCUGAUUUGAGGUCAGUUUUGCGGUCGAUAUGCGACAGCAUAAUCGAUAUGGGGACCGCAUAUCGGUCACAUAAUCCCUCUUGGGUUUUUGCAGAGGGAGUUUUGCGGUGUAUUAUGUCACCACAGAACAAGUAUUUGGACUACAUACUGGUCGCAUACUUGGGGUGAAAGUUCACGCCCCUGAGGGCCAUUUCUGCGGUCACUUUGCGAACCGCAUAACCAUUAUGCGGUCGCAUAUGCGACCACAGAACUGUGUCAAGGCACCCAUUUUCUUAAUUUAAAACCCGACC
rnacentral:lncRNA from 1 species